UACGUAGGGUGCAAGCGUUGUCCGGAAUUAUUGGGCGUAAAGAGCUCGUAGGCGGUCUGUUGCGUCGGCUGUGAAAGCCCGGGGCUUAACCCCGGGUCUGCAUUCGAUACGGGCAGGCUAGAGUUCGGUAGGGGAGAUCGGAAUUCCUGGUGUAGCGGUGAAAUGCGCAGAUAUCAGGAGGAACACCAAUGGCGAAAGCAGGUACCUGGACUAUUACUGACACUCAGCUGCGAAAGCUAGGGGAGCAAACAGG
rnacentral:rRNA from 1 species